rnacentral:lncRNA from 1 species
AUGGGGGCCACAGUGUCUGUGCUGGCUGCUGGAGCACAGGGGGCUUGGUGUGAGGGGAGCAUGUCCAGGACAGGCACCUGCCAGUCAGCCUCACCCCAUGAUGUGAGACUGGGCCCUGGAAGGCAAGGCCUGGACAGAGCCCAGCCCACUGGGGAGAAAAUGGUGCCCUGUGGAAAGGAGCAGGAAAAGCAGGUCAAAAGGUGGUACUGGAGUGGGAGCUCCUGUCUGCAGCUGGCCGUGCUCGUGGCUCUCUCUGGCUUUCUGCGUCAGUCUGGAUACUGCCUGAUGGAGCCACGGUGCCUUGCAGUUUAUGGCAGAGGUGAGCUGUCCCAGGCUCAUGGUUGUGUGCACCUGCCCAUCCCCUGGGCUCACCAAGCUGUGAGGGCACUCUGGGGACAGGAGUCCCUAAGGGAGCCUCCUUCUCUCUGCCCCUCCAUCACCUAUCUCCAGUGGGAUCCUAAUACACCCAGGCCACCUGCUAUGGACUAA